ncrna:Synechococcus sp. BL107 Glutamine-II riboswitch (downstream peptide RNA)
CAACGUUCACCUCACAUUUGUGAGGCGCAGACAACCCAGGCCAAGGAACGGGGACCUGGA